AUUGAACGCUGGCGGCAGGCCUAACACAUGCAAGUCGAGCGGAGCGGCGGACGGGGGAGUAAUGCCUAGGAAUCUGCCUCGUCGUGGGGGAUAACGUCCGGUAACGGGCGCUAUUACCGCAUCCUCUCAGAUGCGCCUAGGUCGGAUUAGGUAGUUGGUGGGGUAAAGGCUUACCAAGGCGACGAUCCGUAACUGGUCUGAGAGGAUGAUCAGUCACACGUGAACUGAGACACGGUCCAGACUCCUACGGGAGGCAGCAGUGGGGAAUAUUGGACAAUGGGCGAAAGCCUGAUCCAGCCAUGCCGCGUGUGUGAAGAAGGUCUUCGGAUUGUAAAGCACUUUAAGUUGGGAGGCGUUACCCACAGAAUAAGCACCGGCUAACUUCGUGCCAGCAGCCGCGGUAAUAC
rnacentral:rRNA from 1 species